rnacentral:rRNA from 1 species
CGCGUAGGCGGUUUCUUAAGUCUGAUGUGAAAGCCUUCGGCUCAACCGAAGAAGUGCAUCGGAAACUGGGAAACUUGAGUGCAGAAGAGGACAGUGGAACUCCAUGUGUAGCGGUGAAAUGCGUAGAGAUCGGGAAGAACACCAAUGGCGAAAGCACUCUGCUGGGCCGAAACUGACACUGAGAGACGAAAGCGUAGGGGAGCGAAUG